rnacentral:rRNA from 1 species
GGUAGCAAUACUGGUGGCGACCGGCGCACGGGUGCGUAACACGUAUGCAACCUGCCUUCAACAGGGAGAUAGCCCGGGGAAACUCGGAUUAAUACCCCAUAACAUGGUGAAACAGCAUUGUUUUAUCAUUAAAGCUCCGGCGGUUGAAGAUGGGCAUGCGUUCGAUUAGCUAGUUGGUGUAGGUAACGGCUCACCAAGGCAACGAUCGAAAGGGGGUCUGAGAGGAUGAUCCCCCACACUGGUACUGAGAUACGGACCAGACUCCUACGGGAGGCAGCAGUAGGGAAUAUUGGUCAAUGGGCGCAAGCCUGAACCAGCCAUGCCGCGUGCAGGAAGACGGCCCUCUGGGUUGUAAACUGCUUUUGAUAGGGAACAAAUGCCACUUGCGAGUGGAGCUGAGUGUACCUAUAGAAUAAGCACCGGCUAACUCCGUGCCAGCAGCCGCGGUAAUACGGAGGGUGCAAGCGUUGUCCGGAUUUAUUGGGUUUAAAGGGUGCGUAGGCGGCCUAAUAAGUCAGUGGUGAAAGCCUCCAGCUUAACUGGAGAACUGCCAUUGAUACUGUUAGGCUUGAGUAUACUUGAGGUAGGCGGAAUUGACAGUGUAGCGGUGAAAUGCAUAGAUAUUGUCAAGAACACCAAUUGCGAAGGCAGCUUACUAAAUUAUAACUGACGCUGAGGCACGAAAGUGUGGGUAUCAAACAGGAUUAGAUACCCUGGUAGUCCACACUGU